AUUGAACGCUGGCGGCAUGCCUUACACAUGCAAGUCGAACGGCAGCGGACCUUCGGGUGCCGGCGAGUGGCGAACGGGUGAGUAAUAUAUCGGAACGUACCUUUCAGUGGGGGAUAACGUAGCGAAAGUUACGCUAAUACCGCAUAUUCUGUGAGCAGGAAAGCAGGGGAUCGCAAGACCUUGCGCUGAUUGAGCGGCCGAUAUCAGAUUAGCUAGUUGGUGAGGUAAAGGCUCACCAAGGCGACGAUCUGUAGCGGGUCUGAGAGGAUGAUCCGCCACACUGGAACUGAGACACGGUCCAGACUCCUACGGGAGCAGCAGUGGGGAAUUUUGGACAAUGGGCGCAAGCCUGAUCCAGCCAUGCCGCGUGAGUGAACGAAGGCCUGGUGUUAAGAC
rnacentral:rRNA from 1 species